rnacentral:snRNA from 1 species
AUAAGUGAGAGAGAAAUGGCUCUGACAUCUGUCAUCCCAUCACAUGCCAGGCUGAUUCAGCUGACGUGGCUACAAGAUGUUUCCUUUCUCCUUCACUAUUCCAGGUGCCUCUGUUUCAAAGCAGCAUGCUCAGUUGAUAAGGAUGAGAUUUCCUCAUAGAGGAGGAUUGUCAUAGGUGGAGAGCAUGUGAGCAGUUAUAUGCUCUUGUCAAAACCUCCAAACNCUCUCAAGAUAUGCUCUCAUGUUUACUGCAUGCCUGU